rnacentral:rRNA from 1 species
AUUGAACGCUGGCGGCAGGCCUAACACAUGCAAGUCGAGCGAGCGGCGGACGGGUGAGUAAUGUCUGGGAAACUGCCUGAUGGAGGGGGAUAACUACUGGAAACGGUAGCUAAUACCGCAUACCAUCAGAUGUGCCCAGAGGGGAUUAGCUAGUAGGUGGGGUAACGGCUCACCUAGGCGACGAUCCCUAGCUGGUCUGAGAGGAUGACCAGCGAAACUGGAACUAAGACACGGUCCAGACUCCUACGGAAGGCAGCAGUGGGGAAUAUGGCACAAGGGGCGAAAGCCAGAUGCAGCCAUGCCGCGUGUGUGAAGAAGGCCUUCGGGUUGGAAAGCACUUUCAGCGGGGAGGCGUGACCCGCAGAAUAAGCACCGGCUAACUCCGUGCCAGCAGCCGCGGUAAUUC